AUCCUGGACAGGAGUCAGUCCUAGUCAGCGCACAGCAUGGACAUGAAGGUCCCUGCUCAGUUCCUGGGGCUCCUGCUGCUCUGGAUUACAGGUACCAGAUGUGACAUCCAGAUGACCCAGUCUCCAUCCACUUUGUCUGCAUCUCCUGGAGACAGAGUCACCAUCACUUGCCGGGCCAGACAGAACAUUUACUAUGGGUUAAACUGGUACCAGCAGAAACCAGGGGGAGCUCCAAAGCUCCUGAUCUAUCUUGCAAACAAUUUACAAUCUGGGAUCCCCUCCAGAUUUAGUGGCAGUGGAUCUGGGACAGAGUUCACUCUCACCAUCAGUAGCCUGCAGCCUGAAGACAUUGCCACUUAUUACUGUCAACAGUAUUAUGAUAACCUACCCACAGUGAUACAAGCCAUAACAUAA